CCUUCACCCCCUCCGGCCAGAUCCGCCCACCGGCCGAGACCCUUACACUCGCCCGCGGCCAGGGUUUCGGGCGCCGCCAACAGCGGCGUGGCUCCGGUUGGUCCCGGCCUUGUCCUGCUCGAGGAGCAGGAGGAGGAGGGACGCACCUAGCCGGCCACCAAGGGCCUGCUCUGCUCUGCUCCUCUUCCUCCUCAACCACCUGAAGAACCACCACGCGGGCGGGCUGCUGCAGCAUCGGCUUCAACAGCGGUCGACAUCUCCACCACCGCGAUUUUAAGCACCGGCACCAUCACCGGCGUCGGCAACUACCUCAAGGAGAAGAUCCAAAAUGCAAAGCUCUCUCUGUUGGUGCUGCUGUUGGUCCGCGGUGGUGGUGAGAUGAAUCAAUAACUAGGAGAAUCUGCGAUGAGAUGAAGGACAAGCACAAACCUGCACUUGGGCCCCAACAGCCAAGACAAUGAAGGAGAUUUGUAGAUUGAAAUUAAGUUUCACAUGUCUAGCCGGCCACCAAGGGCUUGCUCUGCUCCUCUUCUUCCUCAACCACCACGCCGGCUGGCUGCUGCAGCAUUGACUUCAAUAGCGGUGACCCUCCCUUCCCCCAUUCCUUGCUUGCUGCGACAUUUUAGUUUCUUCCACUAGCUGCUAUUUUAGUCUGCUACUCCAAUCUGAUCCUACCCGUCCCGUGUAGCUUGGAGUACUUUGGGUUUCAGUUCAUCUUUUUUCUGCAUGGAUGGCACAGAGUGGAAAAAAAUAUGAGAGGGAGCAAUUUAGUUUCACAGAGAAUGAGAGAGACAUAUGCAGAUGGGUUCACGGCAAUGAUUUACACAUGUAUGGUUGGAUUGCAUGUUCGUAAACAUGCCAUCACCAGCGUCUGCAACUACCUCAAGGAGAAGAAACCAAAUGCAAAAGCAUGUCUUUGUUAUGAUCGAGCCGACAUACUCAGCCGUGGCCAGAUCCACACCGGCGUUUCUGCAUUGGUGCCGUCAUGGAGCUGCCUCCUUCUCCACGACCACGCAGCGGCAGAGGACUCCUCCGACCGCCACCGCCUCCUCCUCCUUCCACAUCCACACCCAUCCCUCCCCCUCCUCGUGCGCGAAACCCUAGCCUGCGGGCGGCCAUGGUGACCAAGCUCAUGAUGCGCAGCACCCUCUCCUCUCCUCCAAGAGCAAGAACAUGAACGUCCACAAUGUUUUGCUUUGCUCCGAUCUGGUCUGCUCUAUUUGGGUGAAGGAGAAGCUGCUGCGGGUGAAUUGGUGAAGAUGUCGCAAUGUCUAGGCGGGUAGUGGUGACGUUUCUUAUGAUGACAAUGGACCUGCUCUUCCACUACGUUGAUGUGGACCUCGCCACUGACCUCGCCCGGUCGGAGGAGCCCGCCAUGGACGCCUGCCGCGGCUGUGUUCGACGAGGAUGAGCCCCAGCGUCGCAAGAUCCAGCGCCUUCUCCCCGAUGACGGAAUCACUGUCAAGCACAUCAGUGAAGAUGUGGAUAUCUCUAGGCGGGUCGCAGCGACAUUCCUAAGGAUGACAAUGGCAGACUUAGUGACCAGCUCUUCGAUUGGCAGGGCCGCCUGUUCGACAACGCCAAUGGCCACCUCGAGUUCUGAGACAACACCUGAACGUUGUCGUGGCCUUGCAUGGGCAAUACCGGCCUCUGGACCGCCUCCAUCUCCCGCAUGGGCGCACUCUACUCCCUCAUCCUCCGUGAGGAGGAGAUAUACAUAGCUCACUAGGUGCACACCACCGGCAAGGAAGGCGACGACUAUGCUGCCACACGCGACAAGGACAUCGCCCUGUUGAUAUCGCCGAAGCUCUACCGCUACACCAAGGUGCUGGAUGCCGAGGACCAGAAGGUGGCGUGAAGGUGGUGCAACAUCUCUAUUGGGAGGCGGUGUGCAGCGACGAGGAGGUGACUGGCCGUUGCAAAGUGGAGGAGCUUCUCUGGCAGAUCGUCGCCAAGAGUUUGUGCAGUUUGCUCCCUCCCAUCUGGUUGUGUGAAGGGGUCCAGCCAAGGAGAAGCUGUUGUUGGUUCUUCCUCCUCCGUGGUGUACAUGUGGGAUUGGUAACUGGUUGUGGAUGAUGUUUUCAUGGCGCCACUUGACAUAUCCGAGGCAGCUUCCACAGGUGCCUCGCGCAGCUGCACCUCCCGGAUGGUGCUCCUUAGCUCGGUGCGCUCACUCGUUGGUGGGACGGCGCAGCUGUGCUUCUUGAGGCGACCUCUACCGUGUGAUGGCAGUGGUUGAAUGCACUGCAACCACGGCGGCGAUUGUGUCCUGCAUUGGCUACAACCUCUCUGCACAGGUGCCAUGGAGAUGUUGCUGAUGGUUCAAGGGCUAGUGCCGCUGCCAACGUAUUUAUCACAGUUUGCUCCAAUCUGAUCUCCUUGUGUGAAUGGUUACCUGAAUGAACUCUUAUAUAGUUUAAGAUGAACGAGUCAGACUCUGAAUGUGACCAGUCUUUUAAUUACCACACUACAUUUUUUGUUCUAAACUGGCUAAGAUUCUUGAUUAUACAGAGCUUGCCCUUAUGUAAAGAAUAAUAAGAUCUCUGACUUUUAUUUGAUUUAUGCAUAGCUAUAAGUUAGCUACCAAAUAAUACAGUGUGAGUGUUAGUUUUCUGUCAUAUAUGGAGUUCGUAUCAAAUGUAUGUUUGUUAUUUAAUGAAAUGAAACUGGGAAGACUGGCCAUGCCGUCAAAUGAUCCCCAUAUAGAACAUUACUUAAUUGCACUACAUGUUGCUCCCACACUUGGUUAAUUAUAAUUUCUUAUUAACUUAGUAACAGGAGGACUAUGCUAUGGUUGUAAAGGAAAAUAUGGUUGUGUGGCUAAUUACUUGUGGCUUACCGCAACCCCGAUGCGGCAACGUCUCCGGCGUGGUUGUGAUUCUUCAGGCGUCGUCCUCCUCUACCGCGUGACGGCAGUGGUUGACUGCACCACAACCACGGUGGGUUUGUACACGACAUCAGCCACAAUUCCUUCCGUUUGACAAUCCUCUCUGUAUUGGAUCAACGUCAACUUGUGACAAUCCCAUGGCACCGCCGGCUGUCUGCAACUAAGUUUGUGAAUGCAUUUCAUUCAGUUCUUGUGCUGGUAGAAUGCAGCCUUUUGGGAAUUCUGGACUUUCUGUUGCGGUCAUAUAUGGAUGUUAAAUGUAGUAUGUAUGCUGCUCUCAUUGGCGAGACCUGCCUGUUGGUUGUCCUUGGUUAUGACUCGCCUUGCUUCCGGCGCCGACAAGACGGUGCGGUUGUCGCCUCAUGACAUUGGCGUCACUUUCAAGUCCAUGACUGCCUCCUCGACUACCACUACUUAGGACUUGAGUGAGUAGGUGAAGAGAAAGGAAAAAGACCUGUUAAUCUUUUCCUUUUUCGUUGGAUGUUGGUCAAAUGGUUGAAGGCAGGGGGUAACUUGCUCGACACAUCGAAGCCACUGGAUGGACUAAGAGGGUACCGGUUGGUUCAACAGCCCGAGGAAGAAUAAUAUCCUGUCCAACUAGAGAUAACAAGUUUGGCCAGCAGUCAAGAGAUAUACUGAGGAGUUCCAGUUUCUAUGUGGCUGGGUGAAUGGACCAGGAUGUCGAUAAGGCCCAGGCGAAUCACAUGUGCUUGUGCUCUGAUAGGCAUUUCCAUGUUUAUUUUCCCUUUUUUGUAGGUUUUGGCCGAAUGGUGAUGUUGGUCUUCGGAGUUUGUAAAAUUUGGAUCGAAUGGCAAUGUUGGUCUUAGGGUGUGAUACAUCCAUACUGUUUUAAUAUUUGGAUUUAAAUUGUAUUGUGCGGCAUUGAGUUGGUAGUUUUGGUCAAUUUUAAGAGUUAGCAAACAGAUUGGAUUGGUUGUAUGUUGGUUGACUGGAUGUCGAAUCGAUAUUAUUACUGUUGCUAAUGAGUUUUUA